CAGUAAAACACCAGUUCCCAUAGGAUCACCAAAGUUAAGCAACGUCAAGUCUGAUCACUACCUCAGUGGGUGACCACUUGAGAAUACCAGGUGCUGUAA